rnacentral:lncRNA from 1 species
UUGAUAGAAACAUGGAUCAUGAAGUGGGCCUUGACUUUAGGCCCAAACCUAAGAUAUGGAGAGCAUGGCUAUAUAAGUUGUUCCAUAGAGAGAAAAUAAAUCAUCGAAGGAUUUUGUUUGAAAGAAUGGGUCACCAUCUUGGUGAUUGGGGGAGCCUUUGAGCUCUUGGGGCUGAUAGCUAUUGUUAUCAGUUUGUUUUCUUUUCCUUUACUUUUUCUCUUGUAAUUGUUCAUCCAUUCUAAUACAAUUAGAGUAUUUUCAUUUCAAUUCCAUUCAUAUUACUGUUUUCAUUCAUAUAUUUCAUACACGAACCCAUCAAUUGGUCCGACCUACCGGAUC